AUGAACGCUGGCUACAGGCUUAACACAUGCAAGUCGAGGGGAAACGACGGGGAAGCUUGCUUCCCCGGGCGUCGACCGGCGCACGGGUGAGUAACGCGUAUCCAACCUGCCUCUGACUGAGGGAUAACCCGUCGAAAGUCGGCCUAAUACCUCAUGGUAUCGUCUGCGGGCAUCCAACGACGAUUAAAGAUUUCAUCGGUCAGGGAUGGGGAUGCGUCUGAUUAGCUUGUUGGCGGGGUAACGGCCCACCAAGGCUACGAUCAGUAGGGGUUCUGAGAGGAAGGUCCCCCACAUUGGAACUGGGACACGGUCCAAACUCCUACGGGAGGCAGCAGUGAGGAAUAUUGGUCAAGGGGCGAGAGCCUGAACCAGCCAAGUAGCGUGCAGGAAGACGGCCCUAUGGGUUGUAAACUGCUUUUAGGCGGGGAUAAAGUGAGGGACGUGUCCCUCAUUGCAGGUACCGCAUGAAUAAGGACCGGCUAAGUCCGUG
rnacentral:rRNA from 1 species